rnacentral:rRNA from 1 species
UACGUAGGAGGCAAGCGUUGUCCGGAAUUACUGGGCGUAAAGCGCGCGUAGGCGGUGGGACAAGUCUGCUGUGAAAGCGCCUGGCUUAACCGGGCGAGGUCGGCGGAAACUGCUCGACUCGAGGACGGUAGAGGGGGGUGGAAUUCCCGGUGUAGUGGUGAAAUGCGUAGAGAUCGGGAGGAACACCUGUGGCGAAGGCGGCCCCCUGGGCCGGCCCUGACACUGAGACGCGAAGGCGUGGGGAGCGAACGGG